GACGAACGCUGGCGGCGUGCUUAACACAUGCAAGUCGAACGGAAAGGCCCUGCUUUUGUGGGGUGCUCGAGUGGCGAACGGGUGAGUAACACGUGAGUAACCUGCCCUUGACUUUGGGAUAACUUCAGGAAACUGGGGCUAAUACCGGAUAGGAGCUCCUGCUGCAUGGUGGGGGUUGGAAAGUUUCGGCGGUUGGGGAUGGACUCGCGGCUUAUCAGCUUGUUGGUGGGGUAGUGGCUUACCAAGGCUUUGACGGGUAGCCGGCCUGAGAGGGUGACCGGCCACAUUGGGACUGAGGUACGGCCCAGACUCCUACGGGAGGCAGCAGUGGGGAGUAUUGCGCAAUGGGCGGAAGCCUGAUGCAACAACGCCGCGUGCGGGAUGACGGCCUUCGGGUUGUAAACCGCUUUCGCCUGUGACGAAGCGUGAGUGACGGUAAUGGGUAAAGAAGCACCGGCUAACUACGUG
rnacentral:rRNA from 1 species